UACGUAGGGUGCGAGCGUUGUCCGGAAUUAUUGGGCGUAAAGAGCUCGUAGGCGGCUUGUCGCGUUGUCCGUGAAAAUUUACAGCUCAACUGUGAACUUGCGAGCGAUACGGGCAGACUAGAGUACUGCAGGGGAGACUGGAAUUCCUGGUGUAGCGGUGGAAUGCGUAGAUAUCGGGAGGAACACCAGUGGCGAAGGCGGCCUUCUGGACCAGUACUGACGCUCAUGCACGAAAGCGUGGGGAGCAAACAGG
rnacentral:rRNA from 1 species